rnacentral:tRNA from 1 species
GGCGGGCGUGGCCAAGUGGUUAAGGUAUAGGUCUGUGACUCCUACAUACGCGGGUUCGAAUCCCGUCGUUCGCC